GAGAGGUGCCCCUGGCCUUGAAGACUGGACUGGCGUGGGCUCGAGGACAGUUUCCCGCAGCUACGGAAAUCCCCCAUCAGAUGAGCAUCUCUUUUGCCAGGACCUGAGGACCAAGAAACCAAGAAAAGUAUGACGAUAACUAGCCGCUUAACUAGCUAGCUUAUGGAAAGAAGCUUGGUAAUGGAAUACCCGUUCUUGAAUAUCUUUCUUUUUAUCAAUACUGUCAGCAUGAGUCUUUAAUGCUGCUCAGAUAAUAGCAGUAAUGCGUGUCCUCCAAACUGACAAGUCAAUUCGCAAGAGGCCAUCCUGGAUGGAAAAAUGAAAUGGAGAGUGCAACUAUAUACUUUUCCCUUUGAUUUUAAUCACUGCAGAUAAGAUGAUUUGUAGAGAAGUAUGAAUUUUAUCUGAGGAUGUACAACAUGUAAGCCUGCUACUGGGUCAGUGGGAUGCUUUUGCCAACUAAAAGGAUUCGUGCUCUUUGAAAAAUAACCGAAUUCUUAAAAUGGGUGUUCAACUCCUGACGAAUGCGCACGUGACUUUUCGGCAAAGCCCUGCAACCAUCUGAGGUUUUACAAAUCCCACAAUCCCCUUUGCUGACAUACUUGCGCUAUCAAGGUCCUGCUUGUGUGAUAAUGGCAGAUUUGAUCUUCUCAGGUUUGUUUCAUCCUUAAGGGUCCAGCCCUAAUCCAGCCUUGCCCAACCUUUGCUGAACAGUAAAGCACUUCCAGUCAGACACUUAACUGCCUCUUCCUUUUUGAAGUGUCCGAAGCAUCUUAUCUGCUCAAGUUCAACCAAAUGCCUCCAAACUCAUUGGAUGGUGCUUCAUCCCACAGCAAGACAAUGAUCCCAAACAUACUGCUAAAACAACAAAGGAGAAAAUUCUUGACUUGCCAAGUCAUUCGCCCAAUCUGAGCACAAUUUCAUAUGCUGAAGAGAAAACCAAAGGCAACAAGCCCCUGAAACAAGCAGGAGCUGAAGAUGGCUGCAGUACAGGCCUGGCAGAGCACCAUCAGAGGUGAUACUCAACAUCUGGUGAUGUUUGUGGGUCAAGUAGUCGUU